rnacentral:rRNA from 1 species
ACAAUGGAGAGUUUGAUCCUGGCUCAGGAUGAACGCUAGCGGCAGGCUUAAUACAUGCAAGUCGUGGGGCAGCAUGGGUGUAGCAAUACAUCUGAUGGCGACCGGCAAACGGGUGCGGAACACGUACACAACCUUCCUUUAAGUGGGGAAUAGCCCAGAGAAAUUUGGAUUAAUACCCCGUAACAUAUAGAAGUGGCAUCACUUUUAUAUUAUAGCUCCGGCGCUUAAUGAUGGGUGUGCGCCUGAUUAGGUAGUUGGCGGGGUAACGGCCCACCAAGCCUUCGAUCAGUAACUGGUGUGAGAGCACGACCAGUCACACGGGCACUGAGACACGGGCCCGACUCCUACGGGAGGCAGCAGUAAGGAAUAUUGGUCAA